GAUGAACGCUGGCGGCGUGCCUAAUACAUGCAAGUCGAGCGAACAGACGAGGAGCUUGCUCCUCUGACGUUAGCGGCGGACGGGUGAGUAACACGUGGAUAACCUACCUAUAAGACUGGGAUAACUUCGGGAAACCGGAGCUAAUACCGGAUAAUAUAUUGAACCGCAUGGUUCAAUAGUGAAAGACGGUUUUGCUGUCACUUAUAGAUGGAUCCGCGCCGCAUUAGCUAGUUGGUAAGGUAACGGCUUACGAAGGCAACGAUGCGUAGCCGACCUGAGAGGGUGAUCGGCCACACUGGAACUGAGCCACGGUCCAGACUCCGACGGGAGGCAGCAGUAGGGAAUCUUCCGCAAUGGGCGAAAGCUUGACGGAGCAACGCCGCGUGAGUGAUGAAGGUCUUCGGAUCGUAAAACUCUGUUAUUAGGGAAGAACAAAUGUGUAAGUAACUAUGCACGUCUUGACGGUACCUAAGCAGAAAGCCACGGCUAACUACGU
rnacentral:rRNA from 1 species